GACGUAGGUGGCGAACGUUAUCCGGAAUUAUUGGGCGUAAAGGGUGCGUAGGCGGCAUGAUAAGUUAUUGGCGGGAAAUCGAGGCUCAACCUCGUGGAAACUAAUAAUACUGUUUUGCUUGAGUACAGGAGAGGUUAACGGAACUCCAUGUGGAGCGGUAAAAUGUGUAGAUAUAUGGAAGAACAUCGAUAACGGCGAAGGCAGUUAACUAUUCUGUUACUGACGUUGAGGCACGAAAGCGUGGGGAGCAAAACGG
rnacentral:rRNA from 1 species